UCUUUUUUUUUGUUUUUUUUGUUUUUUGCAUAUAAAUCCUAGAACUGAACCUGGUCAGAAUUUCUGUGAUAUAAUAAUUUGAUUUCUUCACAGUUCCCAGUGGAGCCAUCAUAAUUGCAGCUUCAGCUUGUGUUCUCUUCUUUUUGACUCUCUUCAUUACCCUUUGUGUCAUCAUGAAAUGUAAAAGUAAAGGAGGAACCAGGAAAAUACUAUAUAUGCGGUUCCUGAGGACAUCAUUCCAGGCCAGACUCAAAGUCAGACUCCCUCAGGACAUCAAUCAUGUAAUUCUCCAACAUCCACUGUGCCUUGGUGGAGUUUUAAGACUGGACAAGAAUCCACUAAGACUGAAAACAUCCCCCAGCCAUAGUCGGUGUAUGCUCAGGUUGACAGAGCAGCAAAGCCCAAUUCUACAGUCCAACAACAAACACUCAGACCUGAAGAAAAUAAAUAACUGUAUUUACAAUGAUCAACAGUGUUCACUGAUGUACCAUAUGUGCAAAAUGUGGAUGUUCAUGUUACUGUGACCAAGAGAGAAACAUGUUAAUCAGAAGGAAUAUGGGUCUGUUCACUCACAUGUAGCUCAGUUUAGACACAAAAGGCUGGUUGCUGAGUGAUAUUGUGGUCUAGCUUAAAGGUAGCUGGAUAUUUCUCUUAAUUUGAAUUAACAGAGCUAGUUAGCCCAAUUUUUAUUCUUUCAAAGUCUUGUUUU